rnacentral:lncRNA from 1 species
AUGGAAAGCUGAGACAAAGCUUCCACAUUUUGAGGUCCAAUAGGCAUGUUUACCAAUGCAUUGGACAUUGUAGAAAUCAAAAGGCAUGCGUUACCAUUUAAUUUCCAGCACAUGUGCAAAUUAAAGUAAUGGAAAGCUGAGGCAAAGCUUACACAUUUUGAGGUCCAAUAAGCAUGUUUACCAAUGCAUAUUCACAUGGAAUCCAAAGAAGGCAAUGUGGAAUCCCAAUGUGUGACACUACAUCGCGCUCCAGUAGAAGCAAUGUCCCAAAGAUCAGCUGCAUUAAAAAAUUACGCGUGCUCGGUCUCCCAACAGAUAAUUAAACUAUUGUAUAUACAUUAUUUUAUAUAAUUAUUUUUCUGAAAAAUAUACUUAUGCCAUUAAGAGUAGUCUAUUCUUUUAAUUAUAAUAUCUUUAAUGUUAAUAUCUUUAAUAUUUAGAGAUUUAAACCAACUAAAAUAUUAUUUAUUGAUUAUAGGAUAGAGAACUGACCGUUGAGUCUUGCCUUCCUCUCUGCCAAACUAGGCGAAAAGUUUCGGAAACCGCCAAUUCCAUCAGCUGAUCCGCGGCGGAGCACACGGCGGCUCUCCUCCAUUACACAAAACUGCUGUCUCUUUUUUCUCUUUUUCCUCCAUUUGAUAAUUACCCAUCUCUUCUGGGUAUCAUCCAUUUUCGAUUUCUAAUUUUCUAGCUUUUAUUUCAUUUGUUACUUCUGGUAAGUUUUCCUCUGUUUUUCUUUUCUUGCGGUGAUUUUUUACCCAUCACUUUGAAAUCCCUUUGAAAGAUUGUCUACUUUUUAUUCAAUUUCUAGCUAGAUCUGUUACAUACAGGUCAGUAACUCUUAUCCGAUUUGCAUAUGCAUCUUUGAGAUUGUAUCCGGUUCAUAUAAUUUUAUAUUAUUUUAACUUACUCAUCAUUGAUGUAAAAGCCUUCAUUUUGUUUGUGUCGGAGUUAGACGAAUAUCCGAAGUAGCCAACCCAAGGUCGAAAAUAGUAGAUCUGGUCGACGCGCUCCAGUUUGAUGCGCUCAAAUAGCUUUUCGGUGUUGCAAAAAUCGAUCGGAUAAACUCUAUCGCCAGCCACAAUUCAUCUCCAUCACCGGCGACACUUGAAUCUUCCUUUUCUUUUUGUUUAUUUCAAUUCUCUUCCGGCGACCCCUGCACUUUUUUUCCUAUUCUCUCUAUUGCUUUUUGUGGGUGUGUAUGGGUGUGUUCUGUUUUCUCGGACAGGUGCCUUAUUUUUCCGGCGAGGAUUUCCGGCAAGCUACAGUACUCCCGGCGACUCCCAUUCAGACUUUCGGCAGGACGCAAUAGAACUACACGUUUCGAUAAGCUUCAGAAAAACUUGCCCAGGUACUAGUCGCGGUGGCGAGGCAAGUUUAUGGCGUUUGGGAGUGAAGAGCUAAGCAACACC